AGAGUUUGAUCAUGGCUCAGGAUGAAUGCUGGCGGCGUGGAUGAGUCAUGCAAGUCAAGGGGCCGCAAGGCACCGGCAGACGAGGUAGUAAUACGCAGGUACGCACCGAAGAGUCUGGCAUAGCUCGUCGAAAGACGGGGUAAUUCCAGAUGGUACGGCGACGUUAAAGGGGCAACCCGCUCUUUGAGCGGCCUGCGGCGCAUCAGCUAGUUGGUAAGGUAACGGCUUACCAAGGCUAUGACGCGUAGGGGAGCUGAGAGGCUGACCCCCACCGAUGGGACUGAGAUACGGCCCAUACACCUACGGGUGGCUGCAGACGAGAAUAUUCGACAAUGGGCGAAAGCCUGAUCGAGCGACGCCGCGUGGUUGAUGAAGUCCUUCGGGACGUAAAAACCUUUUAUGGGGGAGGAAGUUAUUGACGUUACCCCAUGAAUAAGAGGCUCCUAACUCUGUGCCAGCAGGAGCGGUAAUACAGAGGCCUCAAGCAUUAUCCGGAAUCACUGGGCGUAAAGGGUGUGUAGGCGGCCUUGUUAGUCUUUCGUGAAAGGUCUUGGGCUUAACCCAGGAACCGCGAGAGAAACGGCAAGGCUUAGAGGGCGCGAGAGGUAGAGGGAACUCAUGGUGUAGGGGUGAAAUCCGUUGAUAUCAUGGGGAACACCAAAUGCGAAGGCACUCUACUGGCGCGUUCCUGACGCUGAGACACGAAAGCGUGGGAAUCGAACGGGAUUAGAUACCCCAGUAGUCC
rnacentral:rRNA from 1 species